GGGUUCUACCGUUGGUCGGGCUAUAGUCUGUACUGGCGUGUGGAAUUUCUACCUUCUGGGGAACUAUCAUGUUAUUAAUUUAGCGUGGUAGGAAACCAGAACCUUUACCUUGAAAAAAUUAGAGUGUUCAAAGCAGGCGUAACCUGGCCUUGAAUACAUUAGCAUGGGAUAAUAGAAUAU
rnacentral:rRNA from 1 species